UCGUACCGCCCUCCUUGGGCGUUUCCUCCCUAGACUCGGGCCGCCUCUUUUGAGAGCGGCCUUUUUUUUGGGUCCG
rfam:Labrenzia sp. C1B10 contig8, whole genome shotgun sequence.